AUUGAACGCUGGCGGCAUGCCUUACACAUGCAAGUCGAACGGCAGCACGGGAGCAAUCCUGGUGGCGAGUGGCGAACGGGUGAGUAAUACAUCGGAACGUGCCCAGUAGUGGGGGAUAACCCGGCGAAAGCCGGACUAAUACCGCAUACGACCUCCGGGUGAAAGCGGGGGAUCGCAAGACAUCGCGCUAUCGGCGCGGCCGAGGUCUGAUUGGCUAGUUGGUGGGGUAAAGGCCUACCAAGGCGACGAUCUGUAGCUGGUCUGAGAGGACGACCAGCCACACUGGGACUGAGACACGGCCCAGACUCCUACGGGAGGCAGCAGUGGGGAAUUUUGGACAAUGGGCGCAAGCCUGAUCCAGCCAUGCCGCGUGCGGGAAGAAGGCCUUCGGUUUGUAAACCGCUUUUGUCAGGGAAGAAACGCGCCGGGCUAAUACCACGGAGUAAUGACGGUACCUGAAGAAUAAGCACCGGCUAACUACGUG
rnacentral:rRNA from 1 species